CAGCAGUCCCACCUGGGCCGAGGGCCCACGGGGCCACAAGGGUUUUGAAAGCUGGGCAUGAGGCAAGCAGGUGUCUUGAUCCUACAUUGCCCAUGGAGUUUCUGUCUGAAUGUGCUUGGAGCUCAGGAGUUAGUUGUUUACAGAUUUACAAGAAGGGAGUUUUCUUCCUAGAUAAAUGUAGUGAGUUGACCUUGGCUGGAUUCCAGGCACCCACCAAAGCCUCUCUGUCACUCACCUCCAGAGGUGGACAGGGAAGAGAAAAUUUAACAAAGGGUUUAUGAGUCCAGAUGAAGAUAGAGAGGGAUCACUCAUCAAAUACCAUCAUGGGCAAAACAGAAUCAAAUUAGAGACAUUAAAUGAAUUUAUUACUAACAAAAUAAGAGUAGGAUAGUGAGAAAUAAAUAAGAUCUGAAAACCAAUAUCCACCACCCCUGCCACCUUCCCAGCUCCUCUCCCAGUGGUGCAAAGAGACAGGAAUGGAGGUUAAGGUGAGUGCAUCACUCAUGGCUUCUGCUACUGCUCAGGGAGAGGAGUCCUUCCCUUCUCCAGCAUGGGAUCCCUCCCACAGGACAUUGUUCUGCAUGAACCUCUCCAACAUGAGUCCAUCCCACAGGUAACAGUCCUCUCCAAACUCCUGCAGUUUGGAUCACUCUGCCACGGGAUGCAGUCCUUCAAGGACAAGGCUGUCCUUGAAGGCAGGAUCAGUGUGGGCUCCUCUCCACAAGUCUCCCAAAGUGUCAUAGGCUCCUCCCAGGAAUACUUCUGCUCUGGCAUGGGUCUCCUCCACAUAAUGCAGGUGGAUCUCUGCAUCCCCAUGGAGGUUGAGGGCUGCAGGGGCACAGCUGCCUCGAUGAUAAGGACAGUAGAACAGAACAGCAUAAGGAUAGUAGAAGAGAACAUUUUAUUCUUAUCAGGAUCAGUAGAACAGAACAGCACAGCCAUGUAGAAAUAGAUAAAGGAUGUAACUUCAGCAAACAAGUCACCAAAAUGCAAGCAGGAUGCCAGCUCAGCUCUGCAAGACUGACAAAGAAGAAAUUAGCAAAACAACAAUAUUGCGUUUGCUCAGAAGCCGGAGUCAAAGAACAGCUACCUAAAAAGGACACUGGACAUGAAGAAUCAAAUGAGGACUUCUGAUAAGAGAUGCAACUAUGUCAAAUAAAGUCAAAGAAAGUGGAGAUAGCUAAUGAAUAUGAAAUCAGUGUGUAUGAUAAAAACUGUUCACUUGCUGCUCAGGGGACUUGAAUGAAGGAAGGGUUCCCUGAGAGACCAACACACUGCAAUAAAGAAUGUCUGCUGUCUAGUACUCAAAACUCUGUUAGAAAGUUUCUAGCCAUCUGGUUUUGGUAAUAUUACCACAGGCUGCAGAGGAACCUGAGCUCUGUCACCUGGAGCACCACCUCACCCUUCUGCACUGGCCUGGGGGUCUGCAGGGCUGCUCCUCUCACAUGUUCUCUCCCCACUUUUCUCUAGCCAAAAUUACAACUGUGAAAUAACUGGCUUUUUCUCCCUCUUAACUAUGUUAUCACAGAGGAAUUGCCAUAAUUUCUAAUUGGCCCUGCCUUGUCCAGCAGCAUGUCCCACUUUGGAGCUGCCACACAUGGAACAAACUUCUGGCAUCUUCUCACAGAAGCCAUGCCCAUAGCCUCCUGCUAUCAAAGCUUGGCCAUGCAAACCUAAUAUAGCAACAUUAAAGUUUUUUUCCAAUUA